rnacentral:rRNA from 1 species
GAUGAACGCUCGCGGCAGGCCUAAUACAUGCAAGUCGAACGGGAUUGCGGUAGUAGCUUGCUACUACUGCAUGAGAGUGGCGCACGGGUGCGUAACGCGUGAGCAACCUACCCAUAUCAGGGGGAUAGCCCGGCGAAAGUCGGAUUAACACCGCAUAACAUCAACAGUUCGCAUGUUCAGUUGAUUAAAUAUUUAUAGGAUAUGGAUGGGCUCGCGUGACAUUAGCUAGUUGGUAGGGUAACGGCUUACCAAGGCAACGAUGUCUAGGGGCUCUGAGAGGAGAAUCCCCCACACUGGUACUGAGACACGGACCAGACUCCUACGGGAGGCAGCAGUAAGGAAUAUUGGUCAAUGGGCGCAAGCCUGAACCAGCCAUGCCGCGUGCAGGAGGACUGCCCUAUGGGUUGUAAACUGCUUUUAUCAGGGAAUAAACCCCUUUACGAGUAGAGGGUUGAAUGUACCUGAAGAAUAAGGAUCGGCUAACUCCGU